rnacentral:rRNA from 1 species
AGAGAGAGACAUGCGCGCAUAUCAAUAAGCGGAGGAAAAGAAACUAACAAGGAUUCCCUUAGUAACGGCGAGUGAAGCGGGAAGAGCUCAAAUUUGAAAUCUUCAAGGUUUUACCUUGACGAAUUGUAGUUUAAAGAAGUGUUUUCUGCUGAAGUUUUGGUAAAAGUUCUUUGGAAUAGGACAUCAUAGAGGGUGAGAAUCCCGUAUUUGACCAUUAUUUUCAGCUUUGUGAUACACUUUCAAAGAGUCGGAUUGUUUGGGAAUGCAGUCCAAAAUGGGUGGUAAAUUUCAUCUAAAGCUAAAUAUUGGCGAGAGACCGAUAGCGAACAAGUACCGUGAGGGAAAGAUGAAAAGAACUUUGAAAAGAGAGUUAAACAGUACGUGAAAUUGUCAAAAGGGAGGCGUUUGACACCAGUGUUGUUUUCUCGAAAAUCAAUUAAAAAUGGCUCGAUUUUGUAUUGUUGAGACCUUAAAAGCUCACUGUACAUUUUUCGUGUCUUUUUUAAUGCACUUUUCGUUUAACAAGUCAACAUCAGUUUCUUUUGUUGUAAAAGGGUCAUUGGAAGGUGGCUUUCUUUUCGGAGAAAGUGUUUAUAGCCUUUGGCCUCUGCAAUCGGAGAGACUGAGGUCUGCAGCGUAGACUCUUCGGGGUUAGAUACAUUUGUGCUAAGUUAUAGCCUUUUCAUAGACAACUUGUUGACUAUAAUCAGUCUUGUAGCCUACUCGCUUAUGCUAUUUUACCUACGCUUAGGAUGUUGAAGUCAUCGUAUCGCGC